GACGAACGCUGGCGGCGUGCUUAACACAUGCAAGUCGAACGGAAAGGCCCUGCUUUUGUGGGGUGCUCGAUUGGCGAACGGGUGAGUAACACGUGAGUAACCUGCCCUUGACUUUGGGAUAACUUCAGGAAACUGGGGCUAAUACCGGAUAGGAGCUCCUGCUGCAUGUUGGGGGUUGGAAAGUUUCGGCGGUUGGGGAUGGACUCGCGGCUUAUCAGCUUGUUGGUGGGGUAGUGGCUUACCAAGGCUUUGACGGGUAGCCGGCCUGAGAGGGUGACCGGCCACAUUGGGACUGAGAUACGGCCCAGACUCCUACGGGAGGCAGCAGUGGGGAAUAUUGCACAAUGGGCGGAAGCCUGAUGCAGCAACGCCGCGUGCGGGAUGACGGCCUUCGGGUUGUAAACCGCUUUCGCCUGUGACGAAGCGUGAGUGACGGUAAUGGGUAAAGAAGCACCGGCUAACUACGUG
rnacentral:rRNA from 1 species